GUUAUGCGGUUUUAUCAUAAGUGUUUCUGAUACGCAGACUUUUGCAUAUGCAUGCUCAUUGUCAUAAUAAUCCAUCCUUAGUGUGUCUUUGUCUAUUUCAUUAGUUGGGAAGCGAGCACUAGGCUCUCGUUGAAUAAGGUAACACACACACACCUUAUACACCUACAACGCCGGGGGCUAUCGAGACCUUUUAGAAAUGGUACGCUGUAUUCUUUACCUUAGUCGUAUCAGACCGGGGAUGCUUCAACUGGCAGCUGAUGCCACAGAGGUGAUUGUAGAAAACUUACUAGGUUCAUUGAAGACAAUUGCGUGAUCUAUUAUAUUGAUUACUCUCUCCCGUUGCCCGUACACCAGUUCGCAAUGUUUUGCAAGACUGAAGACCAUAACCACGCAAGUAAAUAGCCUCAUUAAUGUUGACAGCACCGGGAAUAUACCCGUCGCAUGUUUAUGUAGGUGCUACGAACCAAAUAAUAAAAUAGCCUUUUUAUUUAUAAUUGAU